rnacentral:pre_miRNA from 1 species
AUCACCUAGGGAUUUUGCUAAAAUGCAGAUUCUGAUUUAGUAGGUCUGGGGCGGGGCCUAAGGUUCUGCAUUUCUAACAAGCUCCCAGAUAAUUCUGU